rnacentral:lncRNA from 1 species
GCUGGAAAGAACAUCGUCGGAGUUCCAGAAUCCAGUGAUCGGGUGGGCCACUUAGGCCAAUCGCCCUGCCUUCCCCAGAAAGGGGAAGCAGAAGGUGGAGAGCCCUCCGUCCGAUCACGAUUCCACCCUCGGAGGGUCCCUACCUCCAUUCCACCAGGAGACCCUCGAGACUCACAGUCGAGAAGAUCUCCAAGAUCAAAGGUUUCAAGAGAUGAACCGAUGGAUCGAGGAGCUCAUCAGACGAGAUCGGCUCGAUAGAUUCAUCCAACGCUGACCUGAAGGUAGGAAGGAUUGACCGAGGGCCCUACCACAGCCAGAGCCACC